CUCUAAUAUUAUUUUCGAUGUUCAAGUUUAUGGACUUGUUCCAAUAAAGUAUUAGAUAUUAAAGAGGUUUAUUCCUUCCAUAAAAGGUAAAAAUGUAUUAAUUUUAGUAUUAAUCUAGUAGAAAAUCGAAAGAAAUAUUAAAAU
rnacentral:ncRNA from 12 species